UGAGAAGGAGAGGGAUCCUAGCAAGGUGCCACUGUCACUGCACUCCCAAAGACCUUUUCAGAAGAGCGCAGCUCCUCUCGCACCGCCCCGGCUCCCUCCGUGUCGCGGUGUGCGGACUCCUUAACUCGGCGCGCCCGCGCUGCGCAGGGCCGGGUGCGGGCAGCGCUCCGCGGCGGGAGCGGGAGCGGGGAAGGAAGGACGGACGGACAGACGGACGGAUCCCUGCUCGCCCCACGACGCUCCCAGCCCUGCUUCUCGGCGGGGCCGGGCUUCUCCCUCCGAGCACACCGGGGUGUGCUGCGGGGAGGCGGCGUUCGGCUGCUCCCAGCUCCAGGCAGCCCCAGACGCCUCCCCGGGCUCCGGGCUGCGCUCUCCGGAGCGAGGGGGAAAGGAGACUGAUGUCGCUCCUUCAAGGUGAAGGGCAGUGCUGGCAUGACGGAAAAGCAGCCUGUGCUCUCUGCCAAAGACUGGGGACCUUCCUGAAGAUUCAGUGCUCUUCAGUUUGGUUUUUUUACGGUCUUAUUUUAGAGCUUAUGGAAGAAUUGGCUGAUAAUCAAGAGGGAGAUUCUGCCAAUAUAUCCAGCUAGAGACUGCACUGUGAAUUACCUCCAGGUCUCUGGAGGUGCAAGCCCAGUGUGCAAAGCACUCUGCAUGCUGCUGCCUUAACCCUGCCUUUGGACCCCAGCCCCUGAGGAGGAUGAGGCGCUUUUCCUCCACACCAUCCCAAAUAGGAGCUGAACAACUUCAGAAAUGAAAAUCUGCUUUGAAGGUGUCACCAUGGUCACCCUGCUUCUCUGGGAGGCAGUUUGGUAAGAAAACCAAACUGGGAAGCAGAGCCAAGCUCCCCAGCCAUGGCCUGGAAGAAACUAAAGCAAGCAGGAAGAUUUUAGAAAGCCCCUCAGAGCCCAGCACAUCAGUUGUUCAGCUUUGGUGACGUCCUUCAGAGCCAACAAGCUGCAAGCAGCUGCCCUCCUUCCUCUCCUGCUUCUCCCCAUGGAGCAGGUGGAGGGGAACAAAUAUGAAGAAGGGAAGCUCAAGGCCUCACUGCAAGCUUGAUCUGCUCUGCUCAGUGUGCCCACACCCACACACCUCUCCAACAGCAGCCAGCUGCCCCCAGAGGAGAAGGUGUGAUCCUGGCACAUUGCAGAGGAUGGGAACACGAGGGCGACUAUCAAGGCUUGAGAAUAUACCGAGGUUGAGUAAAGGCUUGCCUGGGUGAUGAAAUGUUCGUGAAGUGGCACAUUAAUUGAGGAAAGGUGCAAAAGGCAGUCCAUCACGACUUCACCAGCUUGUGCUACCAAGCAUCCCUUGAAAGGCUAAUUAAAACUAGCAGAGGGAGAGGAGCCUGCUAACAGGAUCACAGCCUUGCUUGGAUUGAGUCAUAAGUGUGUAGUAGGCAUUUGUGUUUUCCUCUACGUGUGUCUUCCAAGCCGAGUUGACGGAGAAUGUUGCAGUUUUUUGAAAUCCGCAGAGUAGGAUGAAAACACAGACUAGAUAGCGAGGCAAGGUCUAGGCAUGAAGCAUGAAGAGAAAAAGCCAUGACCGUCUUCCGCAAAUAAAUAAAUAAAUAAGUAAAUAUCUGCCCGAAAUGAGUGCUAAUUAACUUGCAAUAAACCAACUUAACCACUUAGGGGCAGCGUUAACACAGAGUUAACAUGCAAAACAAACCUGUAGUUUCUCACCUGGUUAAUUUAAUACACGUCGUGAAUAUUCAUAGCGCAUGAAACCCUGAUACAUCAACACACCAAACGAUGCGGUCUGUCAAAACCGGGAACGCGUGGCAAGAGGAGGAACUCAGUGGCGCUCGCACGGCGCUGGCUUUGAUCAGUUCCUGUUCCUAAACACAUUCAGAGAGGAGGCAGGACUCUGCCGCUUUCCCUCCGUCGGGGUCACAGACUGUGUUUUAUACAGAGAUUAAAACCUAAAAAAAAAAAAAUAAAAAAAAAAAA